rnacentral:rRNA from 1 species
CCUACGGGUGGCAGCAGUGAGGAAUAUUGGUCAAUGGGCGAGAGCCUGAACCAGCCAAGUCGCGUGAGGGAAGACGGUCCUAUGGAUUGUAAACCUCUUUUGUCGGGGAGCAAAAAGGCCUCGUGAGGCCACAAGUGAGAGUACCCGAAGAAAAAGCAUCGGCUAACUCCGUGCCAGCAGCCGCGGUAAUACGGAGGAUGCGAGCGUUAUCCGGAUUUAUUGGGUUUAAAGGGUGCGCAGGCGGAUUUUUAAGUCAGCGGUCAAAUCGUGGGGCUCAACCCCAUCCAGCCGUUGAAACUGGGGAUCUAGAGUGUGCGAGAGGUAUGCGGAAUGCGUGGUGUAGCGGUGAAAUGCAUAGAUAUCACGCAGAACCCCGAUUGCGAAGGCAGCAUACCGGUGCACAACUGACGCUCAGGCACGAAAGCGUGGGUAUCGAACAGGAUUAGAUACCCUUGUAGUC